CCUACGGGCGACUGCAGUGAGGAAUAUUGGUCAAUGGACGAGAGUCUGAACCAGCCAAGUAGCGUGAAGGAUGACUGCCCUAUGGGUUGUAAACUUCUUUUAUAAAGGAAUAAAACGAGGCACGUGUGCCUUUUUGCGUGUACUUUAUGAAUAAGGAUCGGCUAACUCCGUGCCAGCAGCCGCGGUAAUACGGAGGAUCCGAGCGUUAUCCGGAUUUAUUGGGUUUAAAGGGAGCGUCGAUGGGUUGUUAAGUCAGUUGUUAAAGUUUGCGGCUCAACAGUAAAAUUGCAAUUGAUACUGGCAGUCUUGAGUACAGUUGAGGUAGGCGGAAUUCGUGGUGUAGCGGUGAAAUGCUUAGAUAUCACGAAGAACCCCGAUUGCGAAGGCAGCUUACUAACCUGUGACUGACAUUGAUGCUCGAAAGUGUGGGUAUCAAACAGGAUUAGAUACCCGUGUAGUC
rnacentral:rRNA from 1 species